rnacentral:rRNA from 1 species
GACGAACGCUGGCGGCGUGCUUAACACGUGCAAGUCGAACGGAAAGGCCCUGCUUUUGUGGGGUGCUCGAGUGGCGAACGGGUGAGUAACACGUGAGUAACCUGCCCUUGACUUUGGGAUAACUUCAGGAAACUGGGGCUAAUACCGGAUAGGAGCUCCUGCUGCAUGGUGGGGGUUGGAAAGUUUCGGCGGUUGGGGAUGGACUCGCGGCUUAUCAGCUUGUUGGUGGGGUAGUGGCUUACCAAGGCUUUGACGGGUAGCCGGCCUGAGAGGGUGACCGGCCACAUUGGGACUGAGAUACGGCCCAGACUCCUACGGGAGGCAGCAGUGGGGAAUAUUGCACAAUGGGCGGAAGCCUGAUGCAGCAACGCCGCGUGCGGGAUGACGACCUUCGGGUUGUAAACCGCUUUCGCCUGUGACGAAGCGUGAGUGACGGUAAUGGGUAAAGAAGCACCGGCUAACUACGUG